CAAAAACUUGUCAUGUUUCUUGUUUAGGCGAACUGUCAAAACAAUCAGCUGAUUCUGCAAAUUACAAACGUGGACUUUCAACAGCAGAAACGUUGUGGCUCGUUGAGAUUGGUGAAACGUCUAUCAGGAAUUUAAAAGUAAUAAAUAAUAGACUUGUCUAGUCUGGUUAACCAGACAAGUUUCCAAAACUCGUCUAUAACCUAAGGAUGUCGCAACAAUCAAAACCAACGGAGGAGAAGGCAAAUGACAUUUUAUCUAAUAAGAUGAUAAAACAAGCUGAUGCACCCAAAGAUAUCGCUUUUAUCCAAGCAGAAGGUUGCUCCUCUUCUGAGACUGAAGUGAAACAACCCCCUCAACCUGAAAUAAUUUUGCCAAACACGGUUAGGGAGGAGGGAACAGUAGAUGAGGAAGUAAGAGGGCAAAAGCGAAAAGUAGAAGAAGAAGGUGAAGUUGAUGAAAGAAAUGAAAUACUUGCCGAAGAACUGCUUCAUAGGAACGCAGAAGAGGAACUGUUAAAGACAAAAAUUGACGAGCUCAAAAGGGAGCAAGAAAAAGCCAAAAGGACGCGACUAGAGGUCGCCUCCAUUUUGGAAGAUAUGGUAGAGGAGGAAAAUCGUUGUAAUAAUUUAUUAAAAAUUAUUAAUACGUAUAAUUUUUGUAAUAAAUAAUGUCCAAUAA